AAAAAAUGUUGCCUUCCAGAAUGAUUAUACCAAUACAGUCUUCUCAAAAACACAUGAGAAUGUUUCUUCUCCACCAUUAGUAACACUGUGUUUUGCCAAAUAUAAGAAAUUUUGCCAAUAUGAUAGUGAAAAGCAGUAUUGUUUUCUCAAUUUGCAUUUGUUUGAUGAGUGUAUACACACACAUAGACACACAUGGAGAGAGAUUCAUAUAUAUUUAGGCUAUAUAUUUUAUAAAUUCAUUAGCUAUUUUUCUAUAAAUUCCCCAUUCAUAUCCUCCACAGAUUUUUCUCUUGGGUCAUUUAUCUUGUCCUUAUUGAUUUGUCUUUACAUAUCAGGAAAAUAGACCCUUUUCUCAUACAUGUUCUUUUUUUUUUAAGUAUGCUUUUCCUUUUCUUUUGGUGAGCAAGAGUGGCCCUAAGCUAACACCUGUUACCAAUCUUCCUGUAUUUUUUUUCUCCCCAAAGCCCCAGUACGUAAUUGUAUAUCCUAGUUCCAAGUCAUUCUAGUUCUUCUAUGUGGGAUGCUACCGCAGCAUGGCCUGGUGAGCAGUGUGUAGGUCCACACCCAGGAUCCGAACCAGCAAACCCCAGGCUGCCAAAGAUGAGCACAUGAACUUAACCUCUCGGCCACAGGGCCCGCACCCAUACAUGUUCUGAAUAUAUUUUUCCAAGUUUGUUGUUCACCCUUCAGCAUUGCUUUGUUUCUUUAUCAUUUUUUUAAGUAUAACAUUUCAAGUGUACAGAAAGCAGGAGAGAAUUAUAUAAUAGCACCUAUAUGUCCACCAUCCAGUUUUAAAAUGUUACCGUAAUUUUGCAAUAUUUGCUUCAGCUUUGUCUUUUAAAGAAUAAAAUGUUACAGGUACAGUUGAAGCUUCUUUCCACUCUCACUGAUGCCGUUCUUCUCCAUGUCUCCCCACAGGUGACCACCACCUCAAAGAAGAAAAAAAGACAGCAAUAAUGAAUUGUCUGUGGACAGUUGUUCUCAAGUAAGCCUUCCCGGGAUCUGCAAGCAUCUUUCCAAGAGAGACCAGGUUCACAUCGUUGCAACAGUGAGGCUCGCAAAGCUCCCAUGAGAAGCUGUUCACAAACUGUGCCACCUUCUGACUGAUGUUGCUGAUAAAGAACAGAGAAGAAUCUGCCCAUUAAACUUGCCUCAAAGGAGGUCGUUGAGUUGUGAUUGGAUAUAUUAUAUAUUAUACAAUAAUUUAUUUUGACCCUAGGAGAGGUUCAUUUGAAAAAGGCCAUAAUACCUCUUUCUGCCCACUUUGGAGCAGACUUUAGCUGGGGUCAAAGCCCUAACGUCAGCCUCUAUGAAAGGUUGCAAGCAGGUGGGCUGGGGCAUUCCUAUCUGCUCAGGCACAUGACAAAUGAAGACAUUUCCUGAGGAGGGUGAUGGAACCAAUGUGCUCAUGUCUGAACGUUUUUGCAGAAAGAAUUAAAGGACAGUAAAAAAAAACUUCUGAAUACUCUGUAGUCUUUUGAUAUUCUGAAACUUCUACCUCAUUGCUUAUUUUUAAAAGAACCCAAAUUGGGCUUGGCCUAAACAAGGGAGUCACCUGUGAUUUUGACAACACCUUAAACAGUACACUCCCAUGGUUUUAUACUUUUUCAUAGAUCUGUUUCUUUAAAAAUGUAUAUAUAUAAUUUUUUAAAAUUAUAAAGUUUCUAUAAAUUGCACCAGACUGUGCAUAUCAUUCUGCAAUUCAGCAUGGUUAUUCACUAUGACUUCAAAAUUUAUCCAUGUGGAUGCAUAUAGAUUGAGAGUAUUCCUUUUAACCCACGAAUAGCAG
rnacentral:lncRNA from 1 species